UACCUUGUGCAUGGAGGAGGGAACAGAGAUGAGCCUUUGAGGUGAUGCACUCAUUUGCUGAUCGAUGCACAUGACCUUGAAGUACUUCUAGGGGAGUUUGAGGAGGAGGGGAUCGAGAAAAUUAGAAAGAUACACGAAAUGAGAGUAUUAGCUACGGGAGGGAUUACUACUGACUGCAUAUGGAUGGUCUAAUGAUGCACCGGAUGGUCCAGAAUGAGCUAAGCCAUCUGAAGGUUCAAAAUGUGCAAGUAGGAAGUGCCGUUUUUUUUAGUUUGUAGAAAUUGAUUGGAAGUGUAUUGUCAGUCAAACCGGCUAUCUUGCGAUCUCCAGGCAAGAUGAAUAAAUCUAUUCAUGGAGCAGCAGGCAGCAAUGUGAGUGCUCCACCAUGAAUAUAUUAGACCUAGGCAGGAUCCAUCAAAGACGUGCGGAUUUGUUAACCAUGGCUAGCUAGUAUAGCUAGUUCCAAAGUCCAAAGAGUUGCCAAGAAGAGAAGAACACAGCUGGUUGCUUUAAUAGUUUGCUCCCUCUGGCUCUAUAUAAUUCUUGAUGUUUUAGUCUUUUAGACAUGGUUGAAGUCAAAUAAUUAUAACUUUGACUAUCAAUAACUUUUAAAAUAUUUAGUUUGUAGACACUAGAACAAGACAUAUAGAUUACUAUUAAAAAAUACUUUGAUAAAAUUAAAUAUUUACUGUUUUUUCUGUAUUAUAAUAGAAAAAAUCAUAGUCAAAAAUAUGUUUUGGAGAACUUAUCGUUGUCCGAAACGAGUACUAGCUUAUUACCAUGUGACUCUGAUGUGAAAUUUUUACUUUUUACAAGAUGACAUGGUGACUUGAGAUGCAGCAUGUGCAGGCUCCAUUUUGCAUGCAUAUGGAUACUCAGUAGUAAACUACAGAGCAACAGUUUAAUGGAGUAUGUCACAAAUGGCCAACAAUGACAUAAGCACAACUGCAAUCUGCAAUGGAAGGUGAGUAUAUGCAUGCUUGCACGGCCAUCUCUUCUAGGUGGCUGAGAGCAAGUAUAAUAGAGGGCUAUAAGAAAGCUGAAUGCUGAGGUGGAUGAGAGAGGAGAGGAGAGAGAUGAGAAGCGGGUUGUAAGUUUACAGCCGGCUUAGGCACAAGAACCAAUAAAAUCUGUGAGACAGACAGGUGGACUAUAUAUUUAUAGUGAAAAGUUAACCACUAUAUAAGUGAGCUGAUAGAUAGGCUAUAAGUAAGCAGUUGGUUUUAUUAUUAUCCUUGCUCUGAUGGGCUGCAUGUUGAUUCUGCUGCGUCGGUGAAAUGAACCCAAGAACAUGGCAGGCAUCAAUCAACAUUCCUUGCAUCAUGAACUGGCUAGUUGAGUCUUGUGGGUGGCUCUAUGCGAAUUCAGGGAAAAUAGUGUCCCAAAGGUCAAGUCUAAUAUUUCUUGAUGGAUUAAAGAUUUGUAAUUGCAACGAGUUUCAGAGUUCAGUUCCAAUUUGGUGGGAAACUGGAGAAAAAAACUUGUUAAAUGUUGAUUUCCAUGCUUUGUUCAUGUGUAUCUCACUGGACGCUGCUUUGCUGAAAUGUACUUUACCUGUAUCUAUCACAGGUUCAGAACCUGUGAUUGUGAGGCAUCAUGUGAAUAAAGGAGUGAUUUUACAA